GAUGAACGCUGGCGGCGUGCCUAAUACAUGCAAGUCGAGCGAACGGACGAGAAGCUUGCUUCUCUGAUGUUAGCGGCGGACGGGUGAGUAACACGUGGAUAACCUACCUAUAAGACUGGGAUAACUUCGGGAAACCGUAGCUAAUACCGGAUAAUAUUUUGAACCGCAUGGUUCAAAAGUGAAAGACGGUCUUGCUGUCACUUAUAGAUGGAUCCGCGCUGCAUUAGCUAGUUGGUAAGGUAACGGCUUACCAAGGCAACGAUGCAUAGCCGGCCUGAGGGGGUGAGCGGCCACCCUGGAAAGGGGACACGGGCCAGACCCCCACGGGAGGCAGGAUUAGGGAAUCUUCCGAAAAGGGCGAAGGCCUGGGGGAGCAACGCCGCGUGAGUGAAGAAGGUUUUGGGUUCGUAACACCCUUUUAUUAGGGAAGAAAAUUUGUUUAAGUAAUUGGCAAAAUUUUGAGGGUCCCUAAACAGAAAGCCACGGCGAACUACGU
rnacentral:rRNA from 1 species